GGGCAUCCGGAUGGCGACUGCGGGAAAUCGAGUUCUCAUGCUGGGGCGAAAGGUGUGUCUGCAGGAGCCAAAUCCAAAUGAGCAGUCCAGAGCUUCAGAGAAGAGGCAGAAGUGUGCAAACAGGAGCAGGUCCAAGAUUUGCAUGGCCAGAAGCAAUUCUUGAUCCUCUUGGCUAGAUUCGAAGAUUUGGCCACCUCCAGACGCUACCACACUCUGGGACAGUGGGAGAUUUGGAACAGCUUUGAGAAGAGCAAGG
rnacentral:lncRNA from 1 species